CCUACGGGUGGCAGCAGUCGAGAAUCAUUCACAAUGGGGGAAACCCUGAUGGUGCGACGCCGCGUGGGGGAAUGAAGUUCUUCGGAUUGUAAACCCCUGUCAUGUGGGAGCAAAUUAAAAGGAUAGUACCACAAGAGGAAGAGACGGCUAACUCUGUGCCAGCAGCCGCGGUAAUACAGAGGUCUCAAGCGUUGUUCGGAAUCACUGGGCGUAAAGCGUGCGUAGGCUGUUUCGUAAGUCGUGUGUGAAAGGCGCGGGCUCAACCCGCGGACGGCACAUGAUACUGCGAGACUAGAGUAAGGGAGGGGGAACCGGAAUUCUCGGUGUAGCAGUGAAAUGCGUAGAUAUCGAGAGGAACACUCGUGGCGAAGGCGGGUUCCUGGACAGUAACUGACGCUGAGGCACGAAGGCCAGGGGAGCGAAAGGGAUUAGAUACCCCAGUAGUC
rnacentral:rRNA from 1 species